ACAGAGAGGCCUGGCAUGCUGCAGUCCAUGAGGUCGCAAAGAGUUGGACACCACUGAGUGACUGAACUGAACUGAACUGAUAGGGAGUCUUUCAUAUAUCACCCAAUGUGUUAAUAUUUGUACAUGAAGGAUAUUGAGAUUUCUGUAUUUAUUUUGCUCCAGACACUAUAAGGAAUUCUUUAAUUGUUUGAAAGAGUUCAGUUUUUCAAAUAGUCAAUAAAAUUGUCUGCAGAUGGUGAUACAUUUAUCUCCUCUUUUUCCUAUAGUCAUAACUUUUUUUCUUUCUCUUGUCUAAUUUCACUAGCCACUACCUCUAGAACAAUGUUAGAUAUUGGUGGAUCCCAUUGUCCAUUUCUGACUUUUAUACAUGUGCUUUUAAAGUCUUCACAUUAAGCAAGGUGUUGCUUUGAGGUGAAGACAGAUAUUUUAUCAAGUUAAGGAAAUAUUUACCCAGUCCUAUUUUAUUGAAAGUGAAAGUGUUAGUUGCUCAGUUGCGUCCUGCAACCCCGUGGACUNNNNNNNNNNNNNNNNNNNNNNNNNNNNNNNNNNNNNNNNNNNNNNNNNNNNNNNNNNNNNNAUUCCCUUCUCCAGGGGAUCUUCCCAAACCAGGGAUCAAACCUGGGUCUUCUGCAUUGCAGGUGGACUCUUUACCAUCUGGCCACCAGGGAAGCUUGUUUCAUUAUGAUUUUUUAAAAUCCAGAACAUUGUUGCAUUUUGUCAAAUGCCUUUUUGGAUCUCAAUGGAGAUAUAGCUUUUCUUUUAAGCUAUUAAAAGCUGAGGUAUAAUGAUAUAAUUCAGAGUGCAAAAAGGACACAGGCGGUGUGCUCAGAUGAGGUAAUUUGAAGAGACUUUGUAAAAGGACCAUUUAUAGAGGUGGGGGCAGGGAUUGGGGAAAUGGCCAGGGGCCGCACAGCCUGAGGGCCAUAUGCGCUCCAGCCUUUAGGGCUGGGACAGGUGAACACAGGGGCCUGGAGAGAGAUGCUCAGGUGAGGGAUGAGGCCGGGCAAAGAGGGAGGCAGUGAGGUGGAGACUCCUCCCACCCCCGUCCCUGCCCAGCCUCGCCUGCAGCCUCAGAGGGCAAAUCCAUGCAGGGUGAGGACGAGGGUACAGAGGUUUGCACCGGAGUCCUGGCUCCCAGGGCCCAGCUAGGGGUGGAGAAGGGGCGCUACAUCUUUUUAGGACUACUAGGUUCUGCCAGCUGUUGCUUGCCUAGGAGUUCUGCCUUGAUUUUCAAAAGUGAGAUUUGUCUACAGUUUUAAUAUAUUUUAGGGCAAUUUUACAGUUGCAUUUGAUAUUCAUAUUAUACUGUUCCCAUAAAAUAAAAUUGGAAGCUUUUCUUUUCCUUCUUUUUUCCCCCCCUUCCUUUAUGGGCUGAAGCAGUUGAAACCGCGCUAGAGCCCUCUCCUUCCUGACGCUCUGGCAGAAUCCCGCUGGCGACCUGUGCUUUGGCGGGAAGUGGGUGGGUCAUGCGAUUGCUUUCUUCUCUGAUCACUGGUCUGUUUACAUUUUCAAUAUUUUCUAGUGCAAGUUUUGGUUAAGAUUGCCCAUUUCAUCCAAGAUUUUCAAAUCCUUUUGCACAUAGUUGAGCAGUGUGGACACUGAGGAUCCCUUGGCAUUGGUCCCCACAUCUCGCUGUUUAUUUGGGGUGUUUCCGCCUUCACCCUUUCAGGAAAACCUGGUUAA
ensembl:lncRNA